rnacentral:rRNA from 1 species
CGGGGCGCAGCAGGCGCGAACACUGUGCAAUGCGCGAAAGCGCGACACGGGGAGCUUGAGUGUCUUGGCAUAGCCAAGACUUUUCUCAUUCCUAAAAAGCAUGAGGAAUAAGUGCUGGGUAAGACGGGUGCCAGCCGCCGCGGUAACACCCGCAGCACGAGUAGUGGUCACUUUUAUUGAGCCUAAAGCGUUCGUAGCCGGUAUUGUAAAUCUUCAGAUAAAGCCUGAAGCUUAACUCCAGAAAGUCUGAAGAGACUGCAAGACUUGAGAUCGGGUGAGGUUAAACGUACUUUCAGGGUAGGGGUAAAAUCCUGUAAUCCCGGAAGGACGACCAGUGGCGAAAGCGUUUAACUAGAACGAAUCUGACGGUAAGGAACGAAGGCUAGGGUAGCAAACCGGAUUAGAUACCCGGGUAGUCCUAGCUGUAAACAUUGCCCAUUUGAUGUUGCUUUUCCGUUGAGGGAAGGCAGUGUCGGAGCGAAGGUGUUAAAUGGGCCGCUUGGGAAGUAUGGUCGCAAGACUGAAACUUAAAGGAAUUGGCGGGGGAGCACCGCAACGGGAGGAAUGUGCGGUUUAAUUGGAUUCGACGCCGGAAAACUCACCGGGAACGACCUGUGCAUGAGAGUCAACCUGACGAGCUUACUCGAUAGCAGGAGAGGUGGAGCAUGGCCGUCGUCAGCUCGUGCCGUAGGGCGUUCACUUAAGUGUGAUAACGAGCGCAACCCACAUCUUUAAUUGCAAAUGUAUAUGAGAAUAUGCAUGCACUUUAGAGAAACCGCCAGCGCUAAGCUGGAGGAAGGAGUGGUCGACGGCAGGUCAGUACGCCCCGGAUUUCCCGGGCUACACGCGCAUUACAAAGAACGGGACAAUACGUUGCAACCUCGAAAGAGGAAGCUAAUCGCGAAACCCGUCCAUAGUUAGGAUUGAGGGCUGUAACUCGCCCUCAUGAAUCUGGAUUCCGUAGUAAUCGCGGGUCAACAACCCGCGGUGAACAUGCCCCUGCUCCUUGCACACACCGCCCGUCAAACCAUCCGAGUUGGUGUUGGAUGAGGUUUAAUUCGAGAGGGUUAAAUCAAAUCUGAUGUCGGUGAGGAGGGUUAAGUCGUAACAAGGUAGCCGUA